UAUAUAAGCAUUCGUAUUCUAAAGACAGUCGGCAGUAAGUAAGCCCGACCGAGGAAAAGAAAGCAUCGUCAAUAAUGACUAUGUAUCUCUUUUGUCUUUGGAUAAAAGGGAUUUUUCUUUUAGAUU
rfam:Ruminococcus albus 7, complete genome.